rnacentral:rRNA from 1 species
UGGGAACCUUCCCUAUGGUUCGGAAUAGCUCAGGGAAACUUGGGGUAAUACCGGAUAAGCCCUUCGGGGAAAGAUUUAUCGCCAUUGGAUGGGCCCGCGUCGGAUUAGCUAGUUGGUGAGGUAACGGCUCACCAUGGCAACGAUCCGUAGCUGGUCUGAGAGGAUGAUCAGCCACACUGGGACUGAGACACGGCCCAGACUCCUACGGGAGGCAG